rnacentral:lncRNA from 7 species
ACCAGAGCGAAAUCUGUCUGUGUGAAGUGUGAUUGUCUGGCCUCGUCGUCCUCUGGACGACUUUUCCCCCGUCUUCCACAACCCCGAGUCCCCAACCCACCACGGCGUUGCGGAAUCCACCUGCAACUGCAAGCCCACGAAAUCGAGCCGAGCCCCGACGCCACCAAAUCGUGUGGCCUCGGAGAUCGAGCAGGGUCUGGAAGAACCAGGGGAGAGACCGUCAGAAGAGGAGGACCAGCAGCAGGCAGGCGGUGGUGGCGAAGUCGUCGGCGUCGGCGGCCGGGGUAUCUACGAUGAUAACCCGGUCGAAGCUGGUGGAGCAACUGCGCGACUACCAGAUCCGAUCCCAGCACAAUGUUGCAGAUGUUCUCCUGUGAUGUGUGAUGUAUCAGCAGGGUAAUACGAAGGCAAUUCCACAAUGAUGGUCGCACAAACGAAUAUCGCCAUGGACCUGGUCAUACGAUCAUAUACGGUUAAGUCAGAUAAACAAGAAAUUAUGGCUUUGGCUAAUGUUUGCAAGGAAAUAUAGUAGUUUCAAAGUAGCAGCAAUGGAAUGUUUCAUCUGAAAAUUCAUCUUACGUUAGAUGGGAUGGUUGAUUAUAAGUCUAUCGCUUAAACUUUGGGGGAAAUGACCGAAUGUGAUAGUGAUAUAUUAUUAUCUCA